rnacentral:ncRNA from 1 species
GUUAAGAAGAACUAAAUGAAAAAAAAAAAUGUCCCUAUCUACUAUCUAGCGAAACCACUGCCAAGGGAACGUGCUUGGAAAAAUUAGCGGGGAAAGAAGACACUGUUGAGCUUGACUCUAGUCUGGCACUGUAAGGAGACAUGAGAGGUGUAGCAUAAGUGGGAGAUGGCAACAUCGCCGGUAAAAUAUCACUACUUUCAUCGUUUCCUUACUUACUCGGUUAGGCGGAACGCGUGCUCCGAGGUCCUCGUGCUCCGGCGGUAACGGUGUUCUAGAACCAAGCGUGUCAGAGUGGCGAGAGGCCUAGGCCGAUCGCCGUUAAUACUCCCGCGUGAUCCGAUUCGAGGACACUGUUAGGCGGGGAGUUUGACUGGGGCGGUACAUCUGUCACAGAAUAACGCAGGUGUCCUAAGGCCAGCUCAGCGAGGACAGAAACCUCGCGUAAAACAAAAGGGCAAAAGCUGGCUUGAUCUCGAUG